CUCAAAGUGAACUUCCAAUUAAUUUCACCUGGAAAAAAGACCAGAAGCCAAUGGAAAGUUUCAUGGAGAAGGAAAAGCCUCACCGCAGUUCUCUACUUGUUGUAACAGUGAAAGACCAAACAAGUUUUGGAAAAUAUAUUUGUCAGAUCCGAGAUCAAUUUCAAAGCACUACUCAUACAAUUUCGAUCCAGAAAGAUACAGGUAAUACUUACUGCAUUCGACUUAUUCAUCGUUCAUAAAUUUUAUCAAUCAAAAUGUAAUAGAACACAAUAAUUUCUGUUUUAAAUAACUUGAAGUACUUGAAUGAUGGCGUGUACCAAAGAAUCCAUUUUCAGACAUUCAAAAUUAACGCGUUGUUUAAUUUUUACAUAGGUGAAAAAUAUCUUGCUGGAAUUAUAGUAUUAGCAAUUCUGCUGGUCAUUUCGUUUGUUAUAAUUGCUUAUUUCAUCUAUCAAAAUCGUCGACGUAAAUCAUCAAAGGCAAACCCGGAGAACAAGAGCAAGGACAGAAAUAAUUCAAAAGAUAUUUAUGAAAAUCCUGACAAUGAUGAUGCGAAUUAUGAAGAAGUGGAAAAUGAAGAGUCGACGUAUACAGCUCUCAAAAGUCCUGGCCCUGGGGAGGAAGAAAAUGAUGGUCAUUUAUAUGCCCAUCUAAAUGAAGUACACACGGACUACGUGAAUCAGAACGAAACUGGAUUUUAAGGGAGCUCUGGUCCGAAUCACGUCUGGUUUAUCUAGUGAAUAAGCUCCGUAUAGAAAAAGAAGUCAGGAUACAUUUGUUAAAUAACCAAACUGAAUGUUUUCGACUUAAAUAGAAAAGUAUCAAUCUGUAUUAAUGACUUAGUCUGUUGUCAUUAUAUCCGAAAUACAUUAACUAUGAUUUAUGGUAGUAUUUACAUUGCAAACUAUGCACGGCCAGAUCCUUGCUUUGGCCUACAUUUUGGUAGAGUGAACAAACAUUAGCCUAUCCUAGACCCGACCUUGAUGAGAAAAUCUGGACUCACAAAUCUGGACUCACUGGGAUUGUUGGUCUUGGCCUGCCUAAAUCAAAGACAUUCGAAGGAAUGAAUCUCUAUCAUUCCUUUGAAUGCCUAUGCCUAAACCAAGCCUUAUGGUAAUAUAAACAGUGUAAAAGUUUCACAAUCACCUCUAGUUCUUCAAGUGGUGUGCAGCAGAUGGUGGUCAACGUCAGAAAUGUCGACACUGACAGGAGCAAGGAAAAGAAACUAAAUCUCUCUUUUACUUAUUUUGUCAUCAAACAGAACAGUCUAUAGACCUCUAGAUCACUACAAAUAUAAUGACAAGACUUGACAUUAUUUUCUCACUCUGAUAUCACUUCAGGUUGCCCACCAUCUGCUGCCCGAUAGUGAUUAGUAAAACCAUAGUUAAUAGAGGAGAUGGUUUGGAAACUCAUUAGCAUUACAAUAAACCUCACUAUCUAUGUUUUUGUUCAGGUUUAUGCAAAAAUGUGGUCUUUCAUCUUCACGUGCGUAUUGUAUUUUUGCUCAACCAGCCAAUAGCAA
rnacentral:lncRNA from 1 species